GUCCUCCGCAUCGGCACCUCCAUUGUGGUUGGAUCUGGCACCGCCACGCUGUUCUGGUUCGAUAGAUGGGCUGGUGACUCCCCCUUCGCGACUCGAUUCCCUGACCUGUUCUCUAUCGCGGUAGAUCCGCGGAUAUCUGUAGCGGUGGCCUUUAUUGACUUUGGGCGCCUCGCCUUCCGGUGACCAUUUGGACCGGUGGAAACUGAUGCGUGGCACGACCUGCUCGACUGCAUUGCUCUGCAUGAGCUAGAUCUGGAGAUCGGAGAGGACCGCACCAGGUGGCGGCUAGAACCAUCCGGACAAUUCUCCGCUAAAUCUCUCUAUCAGGCGAUUGCUCCUUCGCCGGGCCACGAAGCUCUCACCACCAUCUGGGCGAUCUGGCUCCCCUUGAAGAUUAGGAUCUUCCUGUGGCAAUGGAUUCGCGGCCGCCUACCUUCUGGCGUUGAGGUCCUGAAGCGCAACGGCCCUAGUGAUGGGUGGUGCCCGCUCUGCAGGCCUGAAGAGGACACGAACCAUAUCUUCUUCACAUGCGUGUCCGCGCAGUUCCUCUGGAGCUGUUUCCGUGAAUUAGUGGGUGGAAGCUGGGACCACAACAACUUGCCCGCUCUCUUCGCCGAACUUUAG
rnacentral:rRNA from 1 species